rnacentral:pre_miRNA from 9 species
UUUUGAUAGCGUAAAAGUUAACUCAAAUUUGUAUGGAGUUGCACGUUUGCCUACGUUUGCCGCUAGAAGCGCAGUUUCAAUUGCUUACAAAUAUGAGUUAACUUUUACGCUAUCGA